CGGACGGGUGAGUAACGCGUGGGUAACCUACCCUGUACACACAAAUAACAUACUGAAAGGUAUGCUAAUACGGGAUAAUAUAUUUGAGAGGCAUCUCUUGAAUAUCAAAGGUGAGCCAGUACAGGAUGGACCCGCGUCUGAUUAGCUAGUUGGUAGGUAACGGCUUACCAAGGCGACGAUCAGUAGCCGACCUGAGAGGGUGAUCGGCCACAUUGGAACUGAGACACGGUCCAA
rnacentral:rRNA from 1 species